UUUUGCUUUGAAAGCAAUCAUGAAGUUUGCACGUUUCACAAGUUUUACUUACACACAUUACAAGGUUUCACAGUAAUAUCCUCAUUAUAUACUUCUGCACUUCCUGCCAUCAUAUGCUACCAUGCACCUUCCGUCUCAUAUUACACUCCAUAUAGAUGGUUUGUCAUUAAUUAAGUGUCAUUAAUUAAGUGUGAUUAACCUUAUGCCGUCAUGUGAUCUUCGUAUGGUAUAUACAGCGCUUCCACUUUGAAGGAAAUUUCCUUUUAAAAGGAUUUUUUUGUAAGAUGAAGGAAAUUUGAAGGAAAUAAAUUUUAAAGGAAAUUUGAGGGAAAUUCUAGAAAAACGAAGCGAAUUUGAAUGAAAUAUCAAAAUUUUACCAAAAUUAGUAAUAUUUACAUCGUUUUGAAAAAAAAGUGGUAAAAUAAGUCUAAAUCUCACUAAAUAGACCUUGCGCAUAACACUUAUUAACCGAAAAAUAAUUAAUAAAUGGAAUAAAUGCCAUUAAUUUACUUGAAAUGCUUCGUUUAAUACCUAUUUUGUAUAAAUCAUAGUAAUUGUGUAAAAUAAAUUAUAACAAUUACAUCUAAAAGACUAAAACAUUCUAAGUAGCUACCUUUUUCCUUCACGCUUUUAUAAGCACGUAAUUUAUAUAAAUUUUUAAAUGCAAGUUUUGAUUGUUGAUUCAUUUAAGGUAAAUUGAGGCCAAAACUAUGACAUUUGAAGCUACGGGCAUAUUUUGAAUUAUGCAAUUCUGUUUAUAGUUUUAGCUCUGUCAGUUUUCUCUACAAAGUAUAAUUGUACUCAGAGUUUUUCAGACUUUAGAGCAAUGAUAAAAUUGAACAUUACGAUAAUCGUAUUUUGGGAAAAGGCUUUUUUAGAGCAUAUUCGACAUAAUUUCUUUUAAUUGCUUGAAGGAAAUGUGAAGGAAAUUUCACAAUUUUUUAAAGGAAUUUUCAGUGAAAAUAAGGAGAAGAAAAGGAUUUUCUGAUUUUCCAAAGUGGAAGCACUGGGUAUAUAUAACAGUUAUCAUAUGCUUGCGUUCUCUUUCUCCUUCGACUCUUAGCAAGUUCACUAUUUGGCAAGUGGGAAAGUUUGUAGACCUUUCGGCACGUAUAUAAAUCUUUCUGACACUGAGAUUGAAAGUGUUUUAACAAUGUUUUGUGUGGCUGGCAACAAAACUUACUAUGGGAAAAAAUUUUCCAUGUUUGGGGAUUUCUCGCUCAAAAUAUUUGGGAAGCUAAAGCUGAAAGAAGAAGAAAAUUCUGCUGGGCAUUGGGUUUGCUGUUGUGGUUCAGCCUCCGAAGAUGAGGAAACUACAAUCAGACUUAUCGUAUUGAACGUCAAUUGUUUCGACUCCAAGCAACGUUUCAUUGACUCAUUAAGAGCUGCUUAUGGAGAAGGAACGUUCUUAUUGGGGCCGCACGUGACGUCAGCUGUCGUCCAUUCGUACGCCUGCUACCUGAAAGAAGACUUCUCCCAACAGGAGAACAAAAGGGUUUUCCAUGAAACGCGUUUCAUGGGAUACCAAGGGAAUAACUACUGGAUUAUUUCCAAUGAUGUGCAUAUUGAGAAUGGUAAAGUGUUAGAUCCAAUUGAUCAUAAGUAUCUAAUAUUGGACAAGUCUUUAAAAAACCACCAAUUGCAAAUUAACGAAAGCUUACUGAACGAUUACGCAAAGUUGAAUCGUUCUGUUG